rnacentral:rRNA from 1 species
UGAAAAAGAACCUGAAACCGUGUACGUACAAGCAGUGGGAGCACGCUUAGGCGUGUGACUGCGUACCUUUUGUAUAAUGGGUCAGCGACUUAUAUUCUGUAGCAAGGUUAACCGAAUAGGGGAGCCGAAGGGAAACCGAGUCUUAACUGGGCGUUAAGUUGCAGGGUAUAGACCCGAAACCCGGUGAUCUAGCCAUGGGCAGGUUGAAGGUUGGGUAACACUAACUGGAGGACCGAACCGACUAAUGUUGAAAAAUUAGCGGAUGACUUGUGGCUGGGGGUGAAAGGCCAAUCAAACCGGGAGAUAGCUGGUUCUCCCCGAAAGCUAUUUAGGUAGCGCCUCGUGAAUUCAUCUCCGGGGGUAGAGCACUGUUUCGGCAAGGGGGUCAUCCCGACUUACCAACCCGAUGCAAACUGCGAAUACCGGAGAAUGUUAUCACGGGAGACACACGGCGGGUGCUAA